rfam:Paraliobacillus sp. PM-2 genome assembly, contig: CONTIG000002
ACGAUGUUCCGCUGUUAGUAACGAUUUGAUAAGAGCAUUGG